rnacentral:rRNA from 1 species
CACGUAGGAGGCGAGCGUUGUCCGGAAUCAUUGGGCGUAAAGAGCGCGCAGGCGGCUUGGCAAGUCGGGUGUGAAAUCCCGGGGCUCAACCCCGGGACUGCAUUCGAUACUGUCAGGCUAGAGGUAGGUAGGGGAGAUCGGAAUUCCUGGUGUAGCGGUGAAAUUCGUAGAUAUUGGGAAGAACACCGAUGGCGAAGGCAGCCAUCUGGACCGACACUGACGCUGAGGAGCGAAAGCCAGGGGAGCAAACGGG